rnacentral:rRNA from 1 species
CCUACGGGUGGCAGCAGUAGGGAAUAUUGCUCAAUGGGGGCGACCCUGAAGCAGCAACGCCGCGUGAAGGAUGAAGGAUUUAGGGUUGUAAAGCUCUUUUGUGAGAGAAGAUAAUGACGGUACCUGACGAAUAAGCCCCGGCUAACUCCGUUCCAGCAGCCGCGGUAAUACGUAGGGGGCAAGCGUUAUCCGGAUUUACUGGGGGUAAAGGGAGCGUAGACGGUUUUGUAAGUCAGAUGUGAAAUCCUGUAGCUCAACUGCGGAACUGCAUUUGAAACUGUGAGACUGGAGUGUAGGAGAGGUAGGUGGAAUUCGUGGUGUAGCGGUGAAAUGCGUAGAUAUCAGGAGGAACACCCAUUGCGAAGGCGGCCUACUGGACUGUAACUGACGUUGAUGCUCGAAAGCGUGGGGAGCAAACAGGAUUAGAUACCCGAGUAGUC